rnacentral:rRNA from 1 species
AUUGAACGCUGGCGGCAGGCCUAACACAUGCAAGUCGAGCGGAUGAAGGGAGCUUGCUCCUGGAUUCAGCGGCGGACGGGUGAGUAAUGCCUAGGAAUCUGCCUGGUAGUGGGGGAUAACGUCCGGAAACGGGCGCUAAUUCCGCAUACGUCCUGAGGGAGAAAGUGGGGGAUCUUCGGACCUCACGCUAUCAGAUGAGCCUAGGUCGGAUUAGCUAGUUGGUGGGGUAAAGGCCUACCAAGGCGACGAUCCGUAACUGGUCUGAGAGGAUGAUCAGUCACACUGGCACUGAGACACGGUACAGACUCCUACGGGGGGCCGCAGUGGGGAAUAUUGGACAAUGGGCGAAAGCCUGAUCCAGCCAUGCCGCGUGUGUGAAGAAGGUCUUCGGAUUGUAAAGCGCUUUAAGUUGGGAGGAAGGGCAGUAAGUUAAUACCUUGCUGUUUUGACGGUACCAACAGAAUAAGCACCGGCUAACUUCGUG